rnacentral:rRNA from 1 species
CUAUACAUGACUCUGCGCAUAUCAAUAAGCGGAGGAAAAGAAACUAACAAGGAUUCCCCUAGUAACGGCGAGUGAAGCGGGAAGAGCUCAAAUUUGAAAUCUUAAAGGGUUUCCCUUUACGAAUUGUAGUUUAAAGAAGUGUUUUCUGUUGAGGUUUUGGUAAAAGUUCUUUGGAAUAGGACAUCAUAGAGGGUGAGAAUCCCGUAUUUGACCUUUACUUUCAACUUUGUGAUACACUUUCAAAGAGUCGGAUUGUUUGGGAAUGCAGUCCAAAAUGGGUGGUAAAUUUCAUCUAAAGCUAAAUAUUGGCGAGAGACCGAUAGCGAACAAGUACCGUGAGGGAAAGAUGAAAAGAACUUUGAAAAGAGAGUUAAACAGUACGUGAAAUUGUCAAAAGGGAAGCGUUUGACACCAGUAGUUGUUUUUCUGAAAAUCAAUUAAAGAACUGUUUAUGCUAAGCUUGUUUAGACUUUAUCAGCUAACUGUUUAGUUUUGAGCUUUUCUUUAAUGCACUUUUCAGUUAACAAGUCAACAUCAAUUUCUUUUGCUGUAAAAAAGCUUGAGGAAGGUGGCUUGAGAUUCGUCUUAAGUGUUUAUAGCCUCUUGCCUAUGCAGUCGGAGAGAUUGAGGUCUGCAGCGUAGAUCCUUCGGGGCUAAAUGCAUUUGUGCUAAGUUAUAGCAUUUUAUAGACAACUUGUUGACUAUGAUUUGUCUUGUAGCUUACUCGCUUAUGUUAUUUACCUACGCUUAGGAUGUUGAUCUACAGAGCGAGAGU